UUGCUAACCGGGCAAACCUUUCGAAAGAUCGAGACGCAAAGCUACGGACCUACUGCACGGGAAGUCGCGUGUUAUGGUGGCCGAGUUGCCGGA
rnacentral:ncRNA from 1 species